rnacentral:lncRNA from 1 species
CGUUUGAUUGCACGAAAUUUUCCAUGGAACUUGGAAUUCGAAUUCCAACUUCCACUUUUGGCCUGUUUGAUUGACAAAAUUUUCCAGGAAAUUGAUUUUCCAUGAAUUUCUAGGUACAACACCUUAAAGCGUGAUUUUCCACCUUUUUUUUCCUAGGGGAUAGGUGGUUUUUGGUUUUCCACCUUUUUUUUUAUUUUUUUAUUUUUGCUUUUUUUAUUUUUUUUUAAUUGUUGGCAAUGGGAACAAAUUUUAGGAAUAAUUGUAAAAGAGGAUAUCCCUGAAAUUGACAAUUUCCACGUAAAACAAAGUCAAACGAACAUCAAAAAAUACUUUUACUUCAACAUUUUCCACGUGAAAAAUUUA